UACACAUCGCCCGUCACUCUCCCCUAGCGAGACAAGCAAGGGGAGAAAAGUCGUAACAAAAUAGGCGCACCGGAAGGUGCGCCUGGUUAAC
rnacentral:rRNA from 1 species